rnacentral:rRNA from 1 species
AGAGUUUGAUCCUGGCUCAGAAUCAACGCUGGCGGCGUGCCUCAGACAUGCAAGUCGAACGAUUAAAGCUCCCUUCGGGGAGUGUAUAGAGUGGCGCACGGGUGAGUAACACGUAAGUAAUCUACCUUUGAGUGGGGAAUAACAGUCGGAAACGACUGCUAAUACCGCAUAAUGCAGCGGCACCGCAAGGUGACAGUUGUUAAAGAUUUAUCGCUUGAAGAGGAGCUUGCGGCAGAUUAGCUUGUUGGUAAGGUAACGGCUUACCAAGGCUACGAUCUGUAUCCGGUCUAAGAGGACGGUCGGACACACUGACACUGAAUAACGGGUCAGACUCCUACGGGAGGCAGCAGUCGGGAAUUUUGGGCAAUGGGCGAAAGCCUGACCCAGCAACGCCGCGUGAAGGAUGAAGUAUUUCGGUAUGUAAACUUCGAAAGAAUAGGAAGAAUUAAUGACGGUACUAUUUAUAAGGUCCGGCUAACUACGUGCCAGCAGCCGCGGUAAUACGUAGGGACCAAGCGUUGUUCGGAUUUACUGGGCGUAAAGGGCGCGUAGGCGGCGCUGUAAGUCACUUGUGAAAUCUCCGGGCUUAACUCGGAACGGUCAAGUGAUACUGCAGUGCUAGAGUGCGGAAGGGGCAAUCGGAAUUCUUGGUGUAGCGGUGAAAUGCGUAGAUAUCAAGAGGAACACCUGAGGUGAAGACGGGUUGCUGGGCCGACACUGACGCUGACAGCGCGAAAGCCAGGGGAGCAAACGGGAUUAGAUACCCUAGUAGUCC